rnacentral:tRNA from 1 species
GCGAUAAUAGCUCAGUUGGGAGAGCGCCAGACUGAAGUCUCUUAUCCGGGGUGCCAUCUGGAGGUCACCCGUUCAAUCCGGGUUUGUCGCA